rnacentral:rRNA from 1 species
GCGNGCGNUGUCUUAACACAUGCAAGUCGAACGCGAAAGGGACUUCGGUCCCGAGUAGAGUGGCGCACGGGUGAGUAACGCGUAAGUGAUCUACCCCUGUAUUCGGAAUACCCCACCGAAAGGUGAGCUAAUACCGGAUACGUUUAUCUUGAUGCGAAUGAUGAUAAAGAAAGGUGGCCUCUUCUUGAAAGCUACUGUACAGGGACGCGCUUGCGUACCAUUAGCUAGUUGGUAGGGUAAUGGCCUACCAAGGCGACGAUGGUUAGCGGGUCUGAGAGGAUGAUCCGCCACACUGGAACUGGAACACGGACCAGACUCCUACGGGAGGCAGCAGUGAGGAAUAUUGCGCAAUGGGGGCAACCCUGACGCAGCGACGCCGCGUGGACGAUGAAGGCCCUUGGGUCGUAAAAUCCUGUCAGAUGGAAAGAAAUGCCACAGGGCUAAUAUCUUUGUGGUUUGACGGUACCAUCAAAGGAAGCACCGGCUAACUCCGUGCCAGCAGCCGCGGUAAUACGGAGGGUGCAAGCGUUGUUCGGAAUUACUGGGCGUAAAGCGCGCGUAGGCGGUUUGCUCAGUCAGAUGUGAAAGCCUCGGCUUAACCGGGGACGUGCAUUUGAAACUGGCAGACUUGAGUAUUGGGGGGGUGGUGGANUCCCGGUGUAAAGUGAAUUCGUAAAUUUCGGGANGAUACGGUGGCGAAGNGACACUGGCCAAUAUGACCUNAGUGCAAANGUGGGAGCAAANGAUANUNCCUGUANCCACCCGUAACANNNACNNGUUUGGAGGUANCNCCAUGCCCANUAACAUAUUUACCCGGGAUACGUC